AGCCCAGCUUGGCCGCCCAGCGCCUGUGCCGGCACGGCUACACCAUGGAGCGCCCGGAUAAAGCGGCGCUGAACGCACUGCAGCCUCCUGAGUUCAGAAAUGAAAGCUCAUUAGCAUCUACACUGAAGACGCUCCUGUUCUUCACAGCUUUAAUGAUCACUGUUCCUAUUGGGUUAUAUUUCACAACUAAAUCUUAUAUAUUUGAAGGCACCCUUGGGAUGUCCAAUAGGGACAGCUAUUUUUACGCUGCUAUUGUUGCAGCGGUCGCCGUCCAUGUGGUCCUGGCCCUCUUUGUGUAUGUGGCCUGGAACGAAGGUUCACGACAGUGGCGUGAAUGCAAACAGGAUUAAAGUGAACAUCACCUUUUGAUAGCAUUAAAUUCAUUUUUUAAAAUGAUAAAUGCUGGAGGGGGGACAUCUGAUUUGAAUAAAGUUGAAAGAACAUGUUAAAGUCA